CUUGCUGUCGAGUUGAUUGUCAACACUGCCGCUAUCGCCAUUGAGAAAGAGAUCCUUAUGGAUUUAAAAACACGAGAUGUUCUGCAUGACCAUGUGAUUGCUUAAUUUAUUAUACAGGAAAGGAGGACUGAUUUUCACUUCGAGCAAAUUGACAGCUGUCUUGGAUUCUUUGGUGAAUAUUUUCAACCCACUGGUUCCGCAGGCAGCAUAUGUUCAUGAGACAGCGAUGCAUGUGUUUCAAAACAUAUGAAAAGCUGAGGCCUGA